AACAAGCAGAAAGGAGGUGCUCUAGUGUCUAUUGAGGUAUUGGAGAAAGGGUUCGGAACAGUCUGGAGGGUGAACGUCUGAGGCAGCCCUCGGGCGUUGAAACUCCGGGUUGGUUCGCCUAACCGAACCACCUCCUGAUCUCGAGAGGGCCGUUCCUGCCGAAGGAGCGGCCC
rnacentral:misc_RNA from 1 species